rnacentral:rRNA from 1 species
GAUGAACGCUGGCGGCGUGCUUAACACAUGCAAGUCGAGCGGUAAGGCCCUUCGGGGUACACGAGCGGCGAACGGGUGAGUAACACGUGAGCAAUCUGCCCUUCACUUUGGGAUAACCCCCGGAAACGGGAGCUAAUACCGAAUAUGACCCUGCCAUGCAUGUGGUGGGGUGGAAAGUUCUGGCGGUGGAGGAUGAGCUCGCGGCCUAUCAGCUUGUUGGUGGGGUAAUGGCCUACCAAGGCUUCGACGGGUAGCCGGCCUGAGAGGGUGACCGGCCACACUGGGACUGAGACACGGCCCAGACACCUACGGGUGGCAG